UCCCAGUUAGUACAAUGGUUAGUAUAGGGCACUCUCAUUUCGGGCGAUCUAGUCGACCAAGUUCAUCUGCUCAGAUCAGGGUUCGAUUCCCUGGCCGGGAA
rnacentral:tRNA from 1 species